GUGCCAGCAGCCGCGGUAAUACGGAGGGUGCAAACGUUGUUCGGAAUCACUGGGCGUAAAGCGCGUGUAGGCUGCACGAUAAGUCAGAUGUGAAAGCCCCAGGCUCAACCUGGGAAGUGCAUUUGAAACUGUCGAGCUAGAGUACGGGAGAGGGUCGUGGAAUUCCUGGUGUAGAGGUGAAAUUCGUAGAUAUCAGGAGGAACACCGGUGGCGAAGGCGGCGACCUGGACCGAUACUGACGCUGAGACGCGAAAGCGUGGGGAGCAAACAGGAUUAGAUACCCGCGUAGUCC
rnacentral:rRNA from 1 species